ACAGUGGAUAUCAUGAGGCUCAUUGGAUGAUUAUUGGUUGACAGAGAGCUGCUCCCAUACUGGAACAUCUACAGCAACGGAUGAAUCAUGACUCAAAGGAAAUGUGCAAAAGAAAAGGAAAUUAAGUGUAGUAUUGCGUCAAGCAUCAAUGCUGUAAUCUGAGGUACAUAAAUCUUGUAAUUCAGGAAGAAAACUAAGGUGUUGCAUUGUUGCAGGAAAGCUACGUACGAAAGGUUCUUAUUUUGAGAGAAAACAAUUACUGAUGGGCUCAUAGAAAGAGAAGACCUAUUGCAACUGAAGAUCAGGCUCUAUGAAAGAAGAGAUGAAUAUACAUGAUCUCAUGAAGUAGAUGAUGGAGUGCAAUUGUGAACAUACUGGUCAUAAAGGUUGUUAAGCAUUUUUUUCUCCGAGGUCAUUAUGUGACAUGGGAUAAAAUGAAGAUGAGCUAAGAUAAACUCACCCAAAGUUGCAGUUAUUGAAUCAACAUGUCUUCGACUGAUAUAUCUGUUAAAAUGUAUACCCAUACAAUCCGCGAUGAUUUCUGCUGGAGCUUAUGGAAACAAAAGGAAGAAAGGCUUUCAGUGGUAAGAUAUGAACAUAGACUUGCAUUGUAACAAAUAAGGUUGCAAAAAGUCUAGUGGAAACGUACUAAUGAUGUAUCUGAUAGAGCAUCAAAUUUAAGAUGGUGAAAAAAUGUCACAAAUAUUUGAUGGAAGACGCAUGGUGGACUAAUCUGGUUCUUCUAGCCAUCAGAAAAAGGAAGUUCACGUUGGUCAGCAUCUUUGAUCAACGUUUAUGAAAUAAACUUGAAUAGAAUAAUACCGGUUAUUGAUCAAAGAAGGUCAUGAGCUCCGGCGUCUAACAGAAAGAAAGAGGACUCCAAUUACACUGACUUCGAUGGUGAACUCUUAAGUUCAUGAUGACGAUGAUUGACAUAGAAAGACAGAGAAUCUCCUACAUGUUCUAGACCAAAAUUUCAGAGCAUUUUGGAGAUUGUAACCGAGCACAAGUCUGUUGAGAUGUUGCUUGAAACUUUAAAAACUAAGGUUGUAUAUAUAGUUGGUGCACAGAGAUGCAUUUAAUCUGCUUCACUUGGGCAGUUUAUGAAAUUGUGGAACUAUAUAUAAUUGUCAGAGGCUAAAUACAUUAAAAAAAUUGGACUGGUUUAAAAA